UACGUAGGGUGCAAGCGUUAAUCGGAAUUACUGGGCGUAAAGCGUGCGCAGGCGGCUUUGCAAGACAGAUGUGAAAUCCCCGGGCUUAACCUGGGAACUGCAUUUGUGACUGCAUGGCUGGAGUGCGGCAGAGGGGGAUGGAAUUCCGCGUGUAGCAGUGAAAUGCGUAGAUAUGCGGAGGAACACCGAUGGCGAAAGCAAUCCCCUGGGCCUGCACUGACGCUCAUGCACGAAAGCGUGGGGAGCAAACAGG
rnacentral:rRNA from 1 species